rnacentral:rRNA from 1 species
AUUGAACGCUGGCGGCAGGCCUAACACAUGCAAGUCGAACGAGUGGCGGACGGGUGAGUAAUGUCUGGGAAACUGCCAGAUGGAGGGGGAUAACUACUGGAAACGGUAGCUAAUACCGCAUACCAUCGGAUGUGCCCAGAUGGGAUUAGCUAGUAGGUGGGGUAAUGGCUCACCUAGGCGACGAUCCCUAGCUGGUCUGAGAGGAUGACAAGCCACACUGGACAUGGGACACGGUCCAGAGUCCUACGGGAGGCAGCAGUGGGGAAUAGUGCACAAUGGGCGAAAGCCUGAUGAAGCCAUGCCGCGUGUAUGAAGAAGGCCUUCGGGUUGUAAAGUACUUUCAGCGGGGAGGCGUUACCCGCAGAAGAAGCACCGGCUAACUCCGUGCCAGCAGCCGCGGUAAUUC